CGGGGUGAGUAAUGUCUGGGAAACUGCCUGAUGGAGGGGGAUAACUGCUGGAAACGGUAGCUAAUACCGCAUAACGUCGCAAGACCAAAGAGGGGGACCUUCGGGCCUCUUGCCAUCGGAUGUGCCCAGAUGGGACUAGCUAGUAGGUGGGGUAACGGCUCACCUAGGCGACGAUCCCUAGCUGGUCUGAGAGGAUGACCAGCCACACUGGAACUGAGACACGGUCCAG
rnacentral:rRNA from 1 species